rnacentral:rRNA from 1 species
GACGAACGCUGGCGGCGUGCUUAACACAUGCAAGUCGAACGCUGAAGACCUGGCUUUUGUUGGGUUGGAUGAGUGGCGAACGGGUGAGUAACACGUGAGUAACCUGCCCUCUUCUUUGGGAUAACGCCCGGAAACGGGUGCUAAUACUGGAUAUUCACUGAUCUUCGCAUGGGGGUUGGUGGAACGGUUUGUUCUGGUGGGGGAUGGGCUCGCGGCCUAUCAGCUUGUUGGUGGGGUGAUGGCCUACCAAGGCUUUGACGGGUAGCCGGCCUGAGAGGGUGACCGGUCACAUUGGGACUGAGAUACGGCCCAGACUCCUACGGGAGGCAGCAGUGGGGAAUAUUGCACAAUGGGCGAAAGCCUGAUGCAGCGACGCCGCGUGAGGGAUGGAGGCCUUCGGGUUGUAAACCUCUUUCGCUCAUGGUCAAGCCGCAACUGUGGGUUGUGGUGAGGGUAGUGGGUAAAGAAGCGCCGGCUAACUACGUG